rnacentral:rRNA from 1 species
CCUACGGGAGGCAGCAGUGGGGAAUAUUGCACAAUGGGCGAAAGCCUGAUGCAGCAACGCCGCGUGAGCGAUGAAGGCCUUCGGGUCGUAAAGCUCUGUCCUCGAGGACGAUAAUGACGGUACUUGAGGAGGAAGCCCCGGCUAACUACUUGCCAGCAGGCGCUGUCAUACGUAGUGGGCUAGCGUUAUCCGGAAUUACUGGGCGUAAAGGGUGCGGAGGUGGUUUCUUAAGUCAGAGGUGAAGGGCUACGGCGCACCCGUAGUAAGCCUUUGAAACUGGGGAACUUGAGUGCAGGAGAGGGGAGUGGAAUUCCGAGUGUAGCGGUGAAAUGCGUAGAUAUUAGGAGGAACACCAGUGGCGAAGGCGGCUCUCUGGACUGUAACUGACACUGAGGCACGAAAGCGUGGGGAGCAAACAGGAUUAGAUACCCUAGUAGUC